ensembl:lncRNA
AUAGUGUUUCUGGGGCUAUAUGACAGUGACAAACCCCCUUUGACCUUUGGCAUGCUGGAAGGGUCUGGAGACAAGACCUGAACCAAUAGAAAUUCUGUGAUGUAUCUGUGAAGGUGGCAGCAGAGGAGCAAUCUGACAAAAUGGCAUCUGACAGUGGAAUUGCUUAUGGAGAAAAGGUGUGUUGUUGAAAUCUUUCAUGUGGAAAAAGUGGCACCCAUUGACAUUCACUGAUACUUGCUGAACGUUUCUGGAGACCAAACAGUGGCUGUGAGCACAGUGAGGGGAUGAGAAGGUGAAGGGAAAUCCUUAAGACCACUCUUCAAGUGGAGGAAGCAGGAUAGAAGACUCAUAAUCAUGUCCUAACAGCGCUUCCAUGACUGAGAGAUAAUGGACACAUCUGCAUCAUGAUCAAAAGUAUAGUGUGAGCCUAUCUGAGCUUACUUCAGAAAUUCAGGCUUGACCUCUGAGGGUUUAUGCUAAUGUAUUUGGUGUUCAUUCAGUAUCUAGCAUAGUGGUCCAUGAUCCAUCACUGUGCUCCCAAGGUGCUCCUGCAAGACAGAUUUCAGCCACCGUUCCCUUUGUAUAGGUACCUUUACCUGUGAAUCUGAAGAGAAUGCUGUGUGGACUGUGAAUUCCUGUCAGAAGACACGGUAAGUAUUUGGACAGCUAAUUCAUGCAGGUCCCUGAGCUACCACUGCUAGUAUUAAGCUCACUAGUUAAAGCCGCUUUAGAUGAAUGCAGCUACAGCAGAAGCUGAAUGAUAAAUAUUCCCAA